rnacentral:rRNA from 1 species
UACGGAGGGUGCAAGCGUUGUCCGGAAUCACUGGGCGUAAAGGGCGCGUAGGCGGCUCGGUAAGUAGGGGGUGAAAUCCUGCGGCUCAACCGCAGGGCUGCCUUCUAAACUGUCGAGCUCGAGCACGGUAGAGGCAGAUGGAAUUCCCGGUGUAGCGGUGGAAUGCGUAGAGAUCGGGAAGAACAUCAGUGGCGAAGGCGGUCUGCUGGGCCGUUGCUGACGCUGAAGCACGAAAGCGUGGGGAGCAAAAGGG